rnacentral:rRNA from 1 species
CAAUAGCGUAUAUUUAAGUUGUUGCAGUUAAAAAGCUCGUAGUUGGAUUUCGGAUGGGACUUGCCGGUCCGUCGUUUCGAUGUGCACUGGCCAGUCCUAUCUUGUUGUCGGGGACUAGCUCCUGGGCUUCACUGUCCGGGACUAGGAGCUGACGAGGUUACUUUGAGUAAAUUAGAGUGUUCAAAGCAAGCCUACGCUCUGAAUACAUUAGCAUGGAAUAACACGAUAGGACUCUGGCUUAUCUUGUUGGUCUGUGAGACCAGAGUAAUGAUUAAGAGGGACAGUCGGGGGCAUUCGUAUUUCAUUGUCAGAGGUGAAAUUCUUGGAUUUAUGAAAGACGAACGUCUGCGAAAGCAUUUGUCAAGGAUGUUUNCAUUA